GCAUGUGCACAAAUGAGCCCACUUUUUAUGAUACAAACAGUUUAACUAUGUUUUGAGUUAUUGAAAAGCCUGAUUGUUGUUUCUAGAUCAUUUAUUGAAAAUAUAAAUAGUUGUCGAAUAAAGCUCAAUAUUUUGGACACAAAAAUGUAAACAAAGGCUUUGUUUACAUACGGACUGUAGAUCACCUUUAAAUAUUGUCAAUUUAAAUACAAUUGUCAUUGAUGCUGUAAAAUUGGCGCCAUAUAUUUAUACUUAACAGCAAUACACCCUUUUCAUAAAUGGCUGCCAAUUAAAAAUUCUUUUAUGUGCAUAUAAAUUGGCCCAACUAGCCUCGUACUCAUGUUAAGAUUUCAAAGGAAUUUCUACCCAGAAACGAGGCUAGUUGGGCCAAUUUAUAUGCACAUAAAAGAAUUUUUAAUCGGCAGCCAUUUAUGAAAAGGGUGUAUACAAGCAAAACUUACUGAACUUCAGACAUAAUUUUCUCUUGGGUGUACCACCUAAAAUCGCUUCAUUUUACUAGCAUUAUUUUACUAGCAUUAUUUUACAUAUAAAGCACUAUCAAAAAAUUUUAAAAUUGGAUGUAGUCCUAACGAAGUGGAAAAAGUAUAUUCACAACAUACAAAAGAUUCUCCUCUUUAAG
rnacentral:lncRNA from 1 species